CGUGUAGGCGGUCAGGUAAGUGGAGUGUGAAAUGCCCCGGCUCACCCGGGGACCGGCAUCCCAAACUGCCUGGCUUGAGUAUGGGAGAGGAUGGAGGAAUUCCUGGUGUAGCGGUGAAAUGCGUAGAUAUCAGGAGGAACACCGGUGGCGAAGGCGUCCAUCUGGCCCAAUACUGACGCUGAGGCGCGAAAGCUAGGGGAGCAAACG
rnacentral:rRNA from 1 species